rnacentral:rRNA from 1 species
GGGUACAGCCAUACCACCCUGAACGUGCCCGCUCUCGUCUGAUCUCAGAAGCUAAGCAGGGUAGGGCCUGGUUAGUACUUGGAUGGGAAAAAGAUGUAGGAUUUAAGGGGAUUUCCUCA